GAAUCCCGUCUCUGACACGGAUGACCAGUGCUAUGUGAUGCACUCUCGACGAGUCGAGUUGUUUGGGAAUGCAGCUCAAAAUGGGUGGUAAAUUCCAUCUAAAGCUAAAUACAGGCGAGAGACCGAUAGCGAACAAGUACCGUGAGGGAAAGAUGAAAAGCACUUUGGAAAGAGAGUGAAACAGUACGUGAAAUUGUUGAAAGGGAAACGCUUGAAGUCAGUCGCGUCGACCGAGACUCAGCCUUGCCCUUGGCUUGGUGUACUUCUCGGCUGACGGGUCAGCAUCAAUUUUGCCCCUUGGAUAAUGGCGAGGGAAAUGUGACACCUUUACGGUGUGUUAUAGUCUCUUGUCGCAUGCAAGGGUUGGGAUUGAGGAACUCAGCACGCACCUUUGGGUGUCGGGGCUUUGCCCACGAUACGUGCUUAGGAUGUUGGCGUAAUGGCUUUAAACGACCCGUCUUGAAACACGGACCAAGGAGUCUAACAUGCCUGCGAGUGUUCGGGUGGAAAACUCGUGCGCGCAAUGAAAGUGAAAGUUGGGACCUCUGUCGUGGAGGGCACCGACGCCCGGACCAGACCUUCUGUGACGGCUCUGCGGUAAAGCAUGUAUGUUAGGACCCGAAAGAUGGUGAACUAUGCCUGAAUAGGGUGAAGCCAGAGGAAACUCUGGUGGAGGCUCGUAGCGAUUCUGACGUGCAAAUCGAUCGUCAAAUUUGGGUAUAGGGGCGAAAGACUAAUCGAACCAUCUAGUAGCUGGUUCCUGCC
rnacentral:rRNA from 1 species